UAUUCAGUCUGAGUAUCAGAAUGCUGAGUGGAAGCAGAGCUCUGUGGAGAGAUACACUUGGAUUAUUCACAGAAUGCUGAAAGCGAUGUGCAGAAAGUGGGAGAUCACAUCUGGUGGAUAGAACCAUUCCACCUGCAGACAUUCUAUCCACACCAGAGGAAAGAAAUGAAAGAGAAAACACAAAACUGCAGGAGACUGUUUUUAAUAUAAGCAUCUUCCUUACAAUGUGCUACUGUAUGGCUGAAGUGGACAUACAUGUCUUUACUAGAUGUGGACAUGGCCAUUUUGCUAGGAUUCCAUUUCAUGUUUUACUGACUUCGUUUGUUCCUCACAAUCAAGAUGAGGGGAGUGUGGUUGGCAUCUUGGAGGUGUGUCCAAAAUUUGGAGUGGGGGAACCGAACAUACUGUCGAUAAUCUUCGUGGCGGGGUAGCCUGCUGUGGUUGGCCCUGGACAUCAGACCUUGCUUUUUUUUGCUGCAACAUGUUUUAUUUUGUGGUGUGUUACAGAAGUCCGUCUUCUGCUGCUCAAGAUUUCUUUUGAUGGACCUAGUAUUGAAAAUUACAUUUUGUUAUGAUCAUUCCUUUACAAACAUAACCUAUACUACAAUGGACACUUUACCUGCUUCUGGUGCGUCAUAAUCAUCAGAUGUCAUGGGAGUGACUGUAGGACGACCAGUACUGCUUUUUUCCAACACUGUAAAUCAAGAAACAAAUAACAUAACUCAUGUAUUCAUGCUAUUGUUGAUACA